UGAGGAAUAUUGGUCAAUGGGCGAGAGCCUGAACCAGCCAAAUCGCGUGAAGGAAGACUGCCUUAUGGGUUGUAAACUUCUUUUAUACAGGAAUAAAAAACGGGGACGUGUCCCUUAUUGCAUGUACUGUAUGAAUAAGCAUCGGCUAACUCCGUGCCAGCAGCCGCGGUAAUACGGAGGAUGCGAGCGUUAUCCGGAUUUAUUGGGUUUAAAGGGUGCGCAGGCGGGCCUUUAAGUCAGCGGUGAAAUCUCGGGGCUUAACUCCGAAACUGCCGUUGAAACUGGGAGUCUUGAGUAUGGAUGAAGUAGGCGGAAUUCGUUGUGUAGCGGUGACAUGCUUUAGAUAUAACGAGGAACUCCGAUUGCGUAGGGCAGCUUACUAAGCCAUAACUGACGCUCAAGCACGAAAGCGUGGGGAUCAAACAGAUUAGAUACCCCUGGUAGUCCACGCCGUAAAACGAUGAUUACUAGUUGUAUGCGAUAUACCGUAUGUGACUAAGCGAAAGCGAUAAGUAAUCCACCUGGGGAGUACGCCGGCAACGGUGAAACUCAAAGGAAUUGACGGGGUCAUAGCUG
rnacentral:rRNA from 1 species